ACUAAAAAUAAUGAGGGUAAAUUGUAAUGCUAAAAUGAAGGAGAAAAAAGUCUUUUGAAGUAUUGCCCUGUGGGACUUGCUUAGACUAGUUCAGUCAGGUUUGGGAAGCAUUAGAAGACGGAGGAUGUGAAAAUGCAGAGAAUCUGGGUUCUGACAUGAGGGAAAAAGCACACCACCCGUCUGAUCACUGACAGAUGUAAAGCUGAGCAAGACAGGGGUAAACCCUCCAAAGGAUUUUGAUGUGGAAACCAUGUGACAAGCAGGAGGAAGCACCAGGGAACAUGCCUGCAUACUGCUUUACCUCUCUGUGGCAAUGGUACAUUGCAUGGGGUGGUUUGCCCUGCUUUACCCAAGUGUGAAAGGCUGGACUUACCCUCACUGAAGAGCUUGCUUUUUCUGAGGAGAUGGGGAUGGAUUCAAGCUUACAUUCCUCCGGGAGCAGAGUCAGACUUUUUGACUGUCCUAGGGACUUUGCAAGAGUGGCCUGUACCUCUUCUCUGUUUUUUUCCCUUUUCAGUCUACUUAAAUCAAAGGUUUCUCACAUAAUCA